GGCCGCAGUCCGAGGGGUCGUUCCCACCCCGGGGCCCCUGUGCGGUGACCGUGGCCUGCGGCGCAUCCCCGUCGUGGCCGGCUGGUUGGGAGAUGGCCUAGGUUAAGGUCGCCGGUGCUUCUCCCGUUGGCAGAGUGACCUGGGGACAGGGCAGGCCGUCAAGGCUCUCUCUGGGGGAAAACUCCAGCGAUGCCCUCCCACAAGCGCUCCCCAGGCUGGCCUCUGAUAGGUAGGAACAUAGGAGGCUCCCUCAUUUCCACAAAGGGGUGUGAAACCAGCAAUCUGGGAGCUCCUCCAGUGGGCUGAUCCCCUUCCCGCUUUGUUUUCACUGAAGAAUUUAUCACCCUAUAAUAAAGAAUAUAUUUACUUUUUGUUUUGUUUUUGUUGGUUUGUCUGUCUCCCUCUUGUAGAAUCUCACCUCCAUGAAGGCAUUGACUUUUAUCUGUUCUCUGCUUUAUUCCCACUGCUUGCGAUGUGGCUGGCCUGUGAGGCACAGGCGUUUCAGUAUUCAUGGAGUGCGCAAGUGCAAAACCUAUUCUUUGAGGGUCUUAGGGGUCUACGAGGCCCAAAUGGAAAUGCGCGUUCAGGGCCCAGGCAAGUAAUUGAGACGUGUGAACCAGUUGGGUAUCAGACAGUCCUAAGUAGAACAGGGGAAGGGAAGCCUGCUUGAAGGCAUCACAUUCUAUUAAAAACAACAACAACAAAAAAAACCCCACAAAACCACCAACAGAGGAAAGCAAGCACUUGAAUCUAAAGGUAGGACAUGGUCUGCGUUCUGACUUCUGCACUGGAUGGCCUCAGUCAGUGUUUUUUUGAAUCUGUAGGUUAAGACCCACGAGCGGAUGGGGAAAUCAGUCCAGCAGGACCGACUAGCAUUAAAGACCAAACAAAACAAGAAUAGAAAACGGCACGGGGCCUUGCACGUUGCAAGGCUAGGUUACUGUGUUUUCCAAGUCGCAGGAAACUGGAAUUUUGGCCUGCGUGUCCACGUGCGAACCUCCCUGCAGAGGUGUUUCUUACUGUGGUCUUACUCGAAAGCAGCUGACAGUUCUGCGGGUUUUCUGGUCAAGCCAGACCAUCAUAACAUUUGCAAUUUUGAUGGUAUGGCUUUGCGUUGCAGAAUCGCUUCUGUUCAGCGGUAUUUGUGAUUUUAGUUUUUGGGAGAUGACUACAGAAAUCAGUGUUGAUCUGUUAGAGAGACUGUCCUGUGGGCUGCCAAGUCCAGGGGAUGUUUUCGGGCUGGGACUAGGGUGAGACAAGGCACCCUUGAUGUCAUGGUCUUCACUCCUCUCCCUUGAUUCCUUAGCGCUGUGCCCUUCUGGUGCCCCUCUGGUUCUUCCACUUGCCAGCUGUGGUUUCUUCUCUGCCCAGCCCUACAAUGAAAGGAGGCCUCCGUGAUGUUCCUUCCUGCAGAGUAGUUUUGCCAGAAUGGCUGCCAGUGAAUCAUGCCUUCCGGUAAGUCGUUCCACUUUGACUCUGGGUUUGGCUCUAGGACCUUUUUGGCCAAUGUGCUUGAUAAGUCCUAUACAGUGGGACUCGCCCUCUUGGAAUGCUGCCCUGAGACCACCGUGCUGUGGAGAAGUCCGGAUGAAAGACCACAGGGAAGGAAGGGCCUGAGUGUAGGCCUGCUCUUCCUGGCCUACGGCUGGCCUCAACUACCCGACAUGUCCCUCUUGGACCUUCCUGCUCGCUGUCCAGAUGAAUGCGACAUCCCGAGGCACCAGACCUGUUUUCUCAAGUUACCAACCUGGUGUGGCACCAUUUUCCAAGAUGGCGGCAGUAUGGUCUUCCACCCUCCGUGUUCUUCUGGCAACAUGCCAAUCAGGAGGUGAGUCUAUGUUGUCUCCCCUUGAAUUUGAGCAGGACUCAACUGUGAUCAUGACCGGAGCCAAAAUCAGAGUGGAACGCUUAACCGGUGAGCCACCUGGGUGCCUCUCCACCCCCACCCCAACCUCUAUAUCUGAACAAUCACCAAGUCCUAAUGAUUUUAUAGACCAUAUAUCUCUAAUCCAGCAUCCUUCUCGACUAUGGCCACCACGAUCCCAUGUCAGAGCAUGACUCCCCUGUCCUGAAGGUCCUAAUGCCCCUUCUAUCUAUCUCUCAUUCCCAGGGGAGCUGUUCUACUCUGUGACCCUAUCCUCCUGUAACAACACUGCCUAAUGUCCUUUAAGGCCCAGGAGGAAACCACAGUUCUCUUAAGAAAACCAAGCUCAGAUCCUCCACAGCUGGUCUUAUGUAAAAGGAAAACGCUUCCUGGUCCUAGAGCAAUUUUCAAUAUGGUAGCCAUUAACCACAUAUGGCUCUUGGGCAGUUGAAAUGUGGCUAGUGCCAUGAGGCUGUGAUGUCUUAAUUUCAGUUUAUUUUAAUUUAAAUUAAAGAACUGCUACUCAAUUCUGUUAUUAGAAAAUAUUCACGGGGCUCCUGGCUGGCUCAGUGGGGAGAGCGUGCAACUCUUGAUCUUGGGGUCGUGAUUUCGAGCCCCAUGUUGGGUGUAGAGAUGACUUAAAUGAAUAAACAUUAAAAAAAAAAAAAAGAGUUCAAGUGUGUUUGGAAUAGCGUGCUUAACUGUGCUCUUUUCUUGGGGACCGAGGAGGAUUUCAGGAUGCGGGAUAAACCAGGACACGUUGAUCACACGACUAUGAAACAACUUGGUUAUGGAAAUUUGUGAAAUCUAAAACCCAGAUCAAGAAUUGUAGGUGAAAGUUAAGCAUCCAAAUGGUGAUGUACAAUAAAAUAAAGUAUACCCUGACUUUCCAAGACUUGGCAUUAAAAAAAGAAUGCAAAAUAUCUCAAUUUUUUAAUAUCGAUUGCAUGUUGAAAUAAUAGUAUUUUAGAUAUUGGGUUAAAUAAAAUAUAUCAUUAAA